ACAAUUAUUAUUGAAUUCUCCCCCCCCCUUCACCGGGAGGGUUAGGUUCUCUAACACUUGUGUGCACUGUUUAUUGUCUCUCGGCGUUCGAGGGUUGGGUGUCCAGGAGCUAGCUUCUUGGCGCCCUUGGGCUUUUUAACGGCCUUGACCUACCCCUGAGCGUCAACUUAAACUUGAUUUUAUUUAUACUAUAAGCCUUUAAUUUUAAAUUUAUAAUUUGAAAA
rnacentral:misc_RNA from 1 species